UGAGCAAUCUGCCCUUCUCAUCGGAAUAAGCGUUGGAAACGACGUCUAAUGCCGAAUACGACCUCCUUUCGCAUGAUCGGAGGUGGAAAGCUCCGGCGGAGAAGGAUGAGCUCGCGGCCUAUCAGCUAGUUGGUGUGGGUAAUGGCCCACAAGGCGACGACGGGUANCCGGCCUGAGAGGGUGACCCGGCCACACGUGGGACUGAGACACGGCCCAGACCUCCGUACGGGAGCAG
rnacentral:rRNA from 1 species